rnacentral:lncRNA from 1 species
AUUUAUUCCUCCUGCCCACAUUAGAAAAUGGGUUGCUUUUAAAACCAUUGUAUUUGUUGUUGGUGGGUUUUCACUGAGGACUGCGUGCUUUGCUACAAUUUGGAUGAAACAACUUACUGAGAAAUUGGAGGCAGAUGAAAAUAGCAUCUUGCACAGCUGUCCUUUCGGUGGCUAUUUAAGUACAUAGUAAGUGAAGUCAUAGCACAAAUAGUCAUGUGAGUAGCCAUCAUAUGACACGAACCCAAAUAGCUUUAUUACUACAAUUCUAAAUUCAAAUGAGUCAAAAUAAGCCACAGUGUGUUCCCAGAGUAUCUAGUGCCAUUUACAUCUGCUGACUCUGGAGUGGAGAUCAUCACCCUAACAGGCUUAAAAAGGCACUGGAAGUAAGAAAAAGAUAAUUUACGUGCACAAGAGUCACACACUGCCGGCAUAGAGAAUCUUUCUAGACAAACUUUACCAGGUGGGGAAUGAACGAGAUGCAUCCUAACUGCCUGAGCAAGAAGCUGACAGUCGAGCAAAUGGAACCAUUUGUGAGUAAAGAGCCUAUGAAUUCAAUAUUAUAAUAUUUCUCCCUCCCUAUUUUGAGUAAAAGAAAAAUGUUCUCUCUGUAUAAUUUAUUUUCAUCCCCUACUUCCAUCAUCUUCUUUUCUCUGUAUUACCAUUACUACCAAGGUCUUUCAAGAACGUUCUCCAAGAGAAGUGUUUUCUCCCUACAACGACAAAGGUGUAAAUGAAAGGAGUUUCUAGUGAGACAGGGGAGGAGGGCCUAGUCCCAAUCUGACUGAAUUCUUAGACAACAACAUCAUUGUGUUAAUCCCACAGUUUUCUCCCUCCCCUCCCCUCCCCCUGCCCCCAGGAGAAGCAGGUCUGCCAAUGUCUCUACAACUCUGAGGCGGAAACCAGCAGUAAGUCUGAAGUUAGAGGCAAACAGUUCCUUCUCCUGAAACAAAGGGAGAGGAAUGCCUAUGAAAUACCAACUUUCAGUCACUUUCAAUUUCUUCUCUCACAAACAUACUUAAAACAGUCUUUAGCUAAGGAUUUAGUGGGAUUGCUAGGGGCAAAAGAACAUUAAAAGUAGAAACGAGAAAUUCUAAGAACUUGGUACAUCAUACUAUCAUACUAUACCCAAUAACCAAUAGUUUUGUUUUUUUAAAAUCACUUUCUGUUUUAGGACAGUUUUAGAUUUACAGAAUUAUGUGAAGAUAGUACAGAGUUCCCAUAUAUCCAGUUUCCCCUAUUAUUAACAUCUUACAGUAGCAUGGUACAUUUUUUUAUAAUUAAAGAACCAAUAUUAAUACAUUAUUCACAUUUUCUUAGUUGUUACCUAAUAUCCUUUUUCUGUUCCAGAAUCUCGUCCAGGAUACCACAUUCCAUUAGUUUGUCAUGUCUGCUUAGGCUCCUCUUGGCUGUGACAGUUUCUCAGAUUUUACUUGUUUUCGAUGGCCUUGACAGUUUUGAGGAGUCCUGGUUGGGUAUUUUGUAGAAUGGCCCUCAAUUUGGGUUUGUCUGAUAUUUUUCUCAAGAUUAGACUGGCUUAAUGUUUUUAGGAGGAAGAUCACAGAAGUAAAGAACCAUUCUCGUCACAUCACAUCCAGGGCGCAUGCUAUCAAUAUGCCUUACCAAGGUUGAUGUUGACUUUGAUCGCCUGGCCUGAGAUAGUGUUUGUCAAAUGUGUCCACUGUAAAGUUACUGUCUUUCUCCCUCCUUUCUAUUGUACUCGCAGGUGGAAAGCCACCAUGCCCAGGCCACACUUAUGGAGCGAGGAGUUACACCCCACCUCCUUAAGCACAGGGUGUCCACAUUAAUUACUGGCGUUCUUCUGCAACUGUCUUUUCUUCUCCACUUAUUUAUUUAUUCAGUCAUUUUAGUCAUAUCACAUUGAUUCACGGACAUUUAUUUUAUUCUUUAGGUUAAAAUCCAAUAACACUUUAACCAAUAGUUUUUUUUUUAACUUUUUAUUAUGAAGAAUUUUGAUUAUAACAAAAGUAAACAAAAUAAUACAAUGCGUCCUCAUGUGCCAAUCGCCCAGCCCCAAUAACCAUUAAGCCACAGGCAACUGUGCCUCCAGAACAUCAUAUCAUUUCAUCCCUAAAUAUUUCUAUAUGUCUCCAAAAGACAAGGAUUUUAAAAAAAUAACUAUAAUACAAUGACCACAGCUAGGACAAUUAACAGUAAAUCCUCAAGAGCAAACAGUCAAUGUUCAAAUUUCAAAUUGUUUCAUAACCAUAUGUUUUAUAGCUUUUCUUUUAAAUCAUGACCUGAAUAUGAUCCAUAUCUUAUGAUUGGUUGAUGUGUUCUUUAAAUCUUUUUUGAUCUAUAAAUUCCCUCUUUCUCU